ensembl:lncRNA
GGGAGAGAGAGAGAGAGAGAGAGGGAUGCAGUGGAGAGGAGGAUCAAAGCCACUACAGCGACGAGCGAGGAUGAAACCAACACUGGUGAAGGUUGAGUGGAGCAGCGUGGACGUACUGAAGGUAGAGAGACACGUUCCAAAGAGACAGCAGCAAGAUGACACCCUGUCACUGCGCUGAUUGGAUAGCACGGACCAGCUGAUCCGAGUGGCUCACAUCGUGAUUGACAGCUCAGAACCACGAGCACAGCGACGUAAUGAGGCAGAUGGGAGAAGUAGACUGAUGUUCCUGUUACACCUGAUCACCGCGCACCAUCACAGAGGAGGGAGCGCUUCUUUUUUCUCUCCCUCCGCUCCUCUUCAGCUGCGAGAGAUGAAUGGAUUUGAAGCAAAGGCGCCGGCGAGAGUCGGGACAGGUGGCAGCUUCGAUUAAAUGUUAAAUGAUGAAGAUGGGGGCGGGGGGGGGGGUUACCGCCUCCGUAGCCCCCGGGCAACCGUCCCCGGAAACGCCAGAGGGAUCGCCGGUCAGGCUGAUUCAUGACCC